rnacentral:tRNA from 1 species
GGGGCGGUAGCUCAGCUGGUAGAGCGACGCGUUCGCAAUGCGUAGGUCGGCGGUUCGAAUCCGCUCCGUUCCA